ensembl:lncRNA
GGGCAGGUGUUUAGGGCUCCAACAUGGAUUUUGGGGGAUGCAAAUUUUCAGGUCACUGCAGACUGUAUGAGGGAGAUUUUUCUUAUCUUCAUUUUCUUGGUGAAGUCCUGAGGUCUGGGGUUGGGGAAUGUAUAUCUGGUCCAAGACCAUAGAGCCAGUAAGUGGCUCAGCUCUCUCCCACCCCAAACCUGGGCUCCUUCCCUUCUUCAUUCUGCAGCAGAGAAGGAGGGACAGUGGCCACUGUGCUGAGUGGGGACAGCUAAGGGAGAGACACGGCUAAUAUGUUCUGAGCAGCUUCACCAUGCACCAGGUCCUCAUGGGGAUACGGGUAAUGGAUCCCAGGGCACUGGAGCCUAGUCUGUGACAUGGAAAGACUGGGGCUCAGAGGCUGAGCCGCUUGCCUGAGGACGUGAAGCUGGCGACCGAGGGAGGUGUUACAGCAUCAGCUGCCAGGCCACUGUGUGUGUUCUUGCGUUUGCUCACCCCUUUCAGAUUAGGUCGGGGUUUCCUGUGGUGGUGAUAACAUGACUGUGAGCUCCAUGGCUCAAAGCAACAGAAAUGUAUUCUCUCACAGUGCAGGAGACCAGAAUCUGAUUCUAGAUGUCAGCAGGGGGACUGCCCCAGAGGUCCAGUAGUUAACACUCUGCUUCCACUGCUGGGGGCAUGGGUUCGAUCCCUGGGGAACUAAGAUCCCACAUGCCUUGCUGGGCCCCUCCCCUAAAAAAAGUUCAAGAUAAAGAUGUCAGUGGGGUUGGCUCCUUCUGUAGCUGGGGGAGAGUCUGCUUCUGCUUCUCUCUAGUUUCUGGUGGUUGCCAGCAAUCCUGUUACCUCCACCUGCAGACCCUUCCAUCCAGUCUCCACCUCCGCUGUCUGUUGGCUUCUCCCUUUCUCCGUGUCAGAACCUCCCUCUCCCUCCCUCUCCGAUCUCUUAUAAAGACAGCAGCCUAAUUCAGUUCAACCUUGAUUAACUGAUUACAUCUGCAAAGACCCCCCCUUCCAAAUAAGGUCAUGGUGUGGGAUCCCCAGUGUAUACCAAUUUUGGGGGCAGAGUAUUCAACCUACUGCCCUGUCCCACAAGCUGCUUCCCGCAUCUGCCCAGAAUAUGGGAUCCCCCACCUCCUGUUUAGCCAGAGGCCCCAGAAGAGUGUUACAGAGUAGCCGGAGUCCUCAGAGUGCACACGACUGCACAGAUACACUCCUACCCCAGGCUUCCGCGUUCUCCUCCAUGGCCCCUGUUGGGGUUUCCUCUAAUACCUUUCUCACCCCCGAUCAGAGCUGGGGAGUAGGCGCCCCACCCUGCCAGCUGCUGUUGAAAAACACUUUGAGAAACAGUGAGUGGUGGUAGGAGAGGACGGAACGGGUCUCAAGGAGCUUGGCUGCGGUUUCACUUGGCGGAAUUCCCCCCUCUGUCCCAGAAGUUUAGGGUGUCUGGCAGGGGAAAGCCAGCCACCUCUCACCCCAGGCACCCCAUGGCCUCGUCAUCUUUGUAUGGCCGCAAACAAGCCCAGGGCUGACCUGGCAAUCAGUGUUGGGGAGGCUGAAUUCAGACAUCUAUUAAUCAGUCAGUCAGUCAGUUCACAGAGCUAGAGAAAGCAGGGUGUAGUGGAACAUCUUGUGGGUCCAGGAAGUUUUCUUUGAUUGGAAGGCAACGUCCGCACAGACCAGAAGGAUUGAGAUCCGCGCUCUUGUCAGCAGCACUGGGAUUGGUCGAUUGUCUCUUCUGUUUGAAGAAAUAGAAGUAGAAGUGGCAGCUUUCAGGAGACUUCUUAUGAUGAGGCAGCUUAUGGGACUUCUCAGUCUCUAUAAUUGCAUGAGCCAAUCACAAUGAAUUUCUCUCUCUUUCUACCCUAUUGGUUCUAAUUUUCUGGAGAACCUGAGUAGUACUUCUUUUAAAAGCAACUGCUAUCUCUAUUUGUUUCUUUUGUUGAUUCCCUUCCUCUGUUUGACUUCCUGGAAUG